UUUCCCCCUUUAGCUCAGUAUUUAACAUAAAUGUGUUUUUCCCACAGAACAUCACUACCGGGUCUACUAUGGCAAGAACGUCGUCCUAGAGGACUUUAUUCUUCGCUAUUACUUCGACCCCAGGACGACGCACAGAGACAACAUUUACGAGUACUGGGUGUUGAUCGAUUUUCUGGAAGUACUCGAGAGGGAGUGUAUCGCCCUCUACAGUGAGGAGUUGCUGCCUCCUGUAAGUGUCACUAUUAUUAUUAUUAUAGGAGAGGUUAUUAUUCACUGUGUGUCUCUAUAAUAAUUAUAUUAUUAACAUUGACUCUCUCCUUCCACAGGAAGCAUCAUCGGAACGCUGGAGAUGGGGGCAGCAUGUAGAGUAUCUGCGGCUGCAGAAUGUAAGUUCCCCCAUCACAUGGGAAUCCCACACCCUCACUGCCCUCAGCGUAUAAAGGUACUAUUAGCAGCACAUAUACAGACAUAAUCAUAACUGUCUCCUUUCUUUCCCCUUUGCUCCUAUCCUUGUGCCUCCCCUGCACCCGCAGACUAUCCAAUGGCACCUUCACCAGCUUGCCAUGACGCUCUGGGAGAGGGAGCAGAAGCUGCAGGAGGCUGCUGGGUAUGUAUUUUGCACUAAACACUUUCAAUUACGCUUACUGCCACUUUACAAUAAUGACAAUAAUGACAUUUAUUUCCCUCCAAACCUAGUGAGGAACAACAGGCAAGUCCUGCAGCUGAGGGAGAGGAGGAAGGAGCUCCUGCAGCAGAGGAGGAGAAGGAAGAGGAAGCUCCUGGAGUACAACAAGCUCCUGCAGCGGAGGAGGAGGAGAGAGAAGACGGAGCUC